AUUGAACGCUGGCGGCAGGCCUAACACAUGCAAGUCGAGCGAGAGUCGGACGGGGGAGUAAUGUAUGGGGGAUGCACGUUAGAGAGGGGUAAAUACUGGAGACGGUAUCUAAUACCGCAUACUAUCGGAUAACCCAUAUGGGAUUAGCUAGUAGGUGAGGUAAUGGCUCACCUGGGAGACGAUCCCUAGCUGGUCUGAGAGGAGGAUCAGCCACACUGGGACGGAUACACGGCCCAGACUCCAAGGGAGGCAGCGGUGGGGAAUAUGGCACAAUGGGCGCAAGCCUGAUGCAGCCAUGCCGCGUGUAUGAAGAAGGCCUUAGGGUUGUAAAGUCCUUGCAGUAGGGAGGCGUUACCGACAGAAGAAGCACCGGCUAACUCCGUGCCAGCAGCCGCGGUAAUUC
rnacentral:rRNA from 1 species